GGGCCUUGACGUCACAGUCGUCUUAGCGUUCCGCCAAGUGAGGUCCGGGGAGGCAGCUCAGCUGCCGUGAGUCUGCCAAGUGAAGUCGGGCUCUGCUUCUCUCCACCUUCGCUCCCUGGGGACGCUGGGUAACUAGAGAGCCGGACACCGCGACACGGAGACAUUGUGGCUAAGAGUGCUGCAUCCAGACUGCGCCCAGCUGAGUCUUGUGCCCCAGUUUUCUCGUGCGUCAAAAAGGGAACACAAUCAACCUCCUACACUUGGGCUGCAAAGUCUGAGUCUCCUGAAAAGUGAGACCCCACAUUCUUGGAAGAAGUCCUGGAGCAAUGGGGGUUCCAGUGGCCUAUGGGCUCUGCUGUUGGCUGCAGACGAGGCUGCUCUUGUGUGACAGCAGGACAUGGGGAGCCCUUCUCUGUGUUGAAAGAACCACCUAUAAAUAAAGAAAAUGUUCGUCUUGGCAGUGAACUGGGAGAUACCAGAACAGUAUGGCAUCACCAAGAAAUCCCACCUGCAUUAAAGAAAGUCACCAAGAGGAAGAGCAUGUGCUGAGCAGUGAGAUGUUGUUGGUUACUGCUUUAGUCACACCCAUAGAAGGAAUCCAGUCCAUGGAACCUGUGAUGGGAGCAAGAGUAUGGUUUUGCAACCUUGGGAAAAUCAUUCUGAAUCUAUUUAUCUGUCUAAAAUUGGAACCACCUCAUCAUGCCAAUGGAGCAGUGAAUGAAAACAUGAAAAUGAUUGUGUACUGCCUAGCAUGGUUCCUGAAUCCAAUAACAUGAGUCCAAACAACAAUAAGUUCAACUUCAUUUGGAAAAAUAUUUGAUUUUGGUUCAGAUAUUUUCUAGGCUAUUCAUAUCUGUGUCUUGUGGACUGCAUUCAAAUAGGCUGCCAAGCAUAAUGAGAAGUGGUAGGCUUAUUACUUGGAUAAUAAUUAAAAAAAACAAGCUGUGCUUUUCCAUCAGUUAAAACAUUCCCAAAUCAAGAUAACCUUGACCUGAAGAACCAGUGUGAGGGGAGCAUGUGUCCUGAGGAGGCAGAGUGAGGACUCUUUAACUGGGAGACAGAGCAGGCAUAAGAAGAUACCCCAGGGUCUCAGCACCACAGAACCCUACCCUCCUCUCCUGCACAGAAAGUAUUAGGUUUCUCUUACUACUCUCUCCCAACUUUGCCAUUGCAAAUCUCCCUUUGCUGAUACACAAAAUGCAUAAAAGUGUCCAAAAACCAAGCUCAAAUGCUUGCAUAAGUGAUGUCCAACCAUAUUCCACCUUCUCUGGAUAGCCUGUCUUGGUCUCUUUAGACCUUCAGCCUUCCACCAGAUUUCCAGGCUUGUGUCCAGACUAGCUCAGUGGACAUCCACAGGCCCCAUUGGGAAUGUUCCUCUCAGUCCCAUCUUUCUACUCUGAAGGCCCUAUUUCUAGCUUGAGCCCCAGAAAUACUUGCCACUUCCUGAAGGAUUUUGGAUCCAAAAGACUUCCAUAGCCUAGGCAGCUUAUGUUGAGAGCCUUGGGGGAUAACUGACAUCAUACGUAAGAGUGUUAACUGUUAAACUAGCAACAAGAGUCAUGGCACUAACUUCCCAUGCAGGACCUCUGUCCUCAAAGAGAAUGGGACCAGGAAUGGGAGAGGGAAG